rnacentral:tRNA from 1 species
UAUAUUAUGCCUGAUUAAAGGGUUAAUUUGAUAGAUUAAAUUAAGGUUAAUUUUC